AUGCUAGCUAGUUUGGUCAUGAAAUGUCCCUAAGGAAACCAUCCAGUUCAGAGGGCACCAGGGACCCCCCCCUCUCAUUUCCACCCUGAGCUAAAAAGAUUCCCUUCUAUCGGUGGGACGUCAAUGGUUCAACGUUUUAUUCAGGUGGUCGGGUUGGACGCUUCCUCCUCGCUUCUCCCCAUGGAGACCAUCCAGACGGUCCGGCUGCUGUGUCUGAUCGGACUCCUGCCCAGACCUUUGCAGGUGUUGUGUCUGUCAGAGAUAUCCCUCACCAUGUUCUACGACUCUGUGGACGACCAGUAUAUUGACUGCAGCUUCACGGGGCAGAAGUCGGGAACUAUCCCUUUGGAGGGAAAGUAUAGUAAGACCUGGGAAAUGGCCAGAAGCCACUGGGACAGCCUUGGCCAAACGGUCGGCAGCUUCGAUCCCAUUUAUGGCACGGCGAUUGUGGCCUACACAAUUGGAGACGACCUGUACAGAGAUUUCAACACCGCCGUACGAGAAGCUGGGAAAUCCCAAACUUCUUACGACCAAUUUGCCUUCAAGCACUUCUUCUUUCUCCUGACCAAGGCUCUCCAGGCCAAGAGGACCGAGGACAGAUGCUAUGAGGUCUUCCGCGGGAUAAAAGGGAUCCGUUUCACGGUCUCCGACGAGGUGGUUCGCUUCGGACAGUUCGCUUCCUCCUCGUUGGACAAAAAGGUGGCCCAAACAUUUGGCGAGGACACCCUCUUCUCCAUCAAGACCUGCUACGGCGUGCCCAUUUACGACUUCUCAUACCACAAGGAUCAAAAGGAAGUUCUCAUCCCGCCCUAUGAGACAUUCACCGUGAUCUCCCAGGAGACCACAAAGGGGGUCUUCGUCAGGCUAGAGUCCCGGGGUGUAUUCAGCCGCUGCAACUGUGAAGUCCUGAAUGCUGCAGGCCUCUUAACUCCGAUGGGGAUGUCCUUCCUUCUGUGGGUUCUCCUUCUAACCUGGAGCAUCCUUGGGUCUCUAGGAAGCCUCUGACAGCUUGGUCAUCUACGGAGAGAGUGUCCCUAGAAAGGAGACCAAGUGUGACACGCAAAAUAUCUUUGCAAGAAAGUGGCCUUUUUUUUUUUUUGCCCCGCUGACAAGAUGAAUUGCAAGAAUUUCAGGCAACUCCAAAAAGCCCCAAGGAUCAGCCACAACAUCAUACACAACAAAAGGAAAACCUAUAAUGGAGUAUUAUCUCAAAGAACAUGGAAAGAACACAAAUUUACAUGUCGAUAACAAAGAACUCAGAAGCAUAAACAUUCACUCACCAACAAACCCAAUUUGCUUGCUGCCCCCAAGACCACCCCUGUUGCUGUUAUUAGGAAAUAAACAGAACUUCCUUUCCAUAAUCAG